CGGGUGCGUAACGCGUAUAGAACCUACCUUUUACAGAGGAAUAGCCUUUAGAAAUGAAGAUUAAUGCCUCAUAGUAUUGUAGACUGGCAUCAGUUUAUAAUUAAAGAUUUAUCGGUAAAAGAUGGCUAUGCGUCCUAUUAGCUAGAUGGUAAGGUAACGGCUUACCAUGGCAACGAUAGGUAGGGGCCCUGAGAGGGGGAUCCCCCACACUGGUACUGAGACACGGACCAGACUCCUACGGGAGGCAGCAGUGAGGAAUAUUGGGCAAUGGAGGCAACUCUGACCCAGCCAUGCCGCGUGCAGGAAGACUGCCCUAUGGGUUGUAAACUGCUUUUAUACAGGAAGAAACACACCUACGUGUAGGUGCUUGACGGUACUGUAAGAAUAAGCACCGG
rnacentral:rRNA from 1 species